UCAGUGCUAAAUGAAAUGGAAAUCCUUCAACAUCAUCAGACAAAUCAGUCGAUUCAAUCAGAAUGACCGUGAGUAAUUUCUUUAAAUUAUAUAGUUUACUUCUCAUUUGACACCAAAAACAACGGUACUGACUCCAAGAAGAAAAUGUACAAUAUCUCAAUACAAACAUAAUUUAGUACUAUUUUACAAUCACUACAAUCCUAGUGGAUUGAUAGUGCUUUUAUUCUUUUUCACAAAGACACAACGUACCAUUUUUUAUUUAUCAAUAAAAGAAACGAGAGUUCGUUAUUUGAUGUUUAUUUAGCAUUUGCGGUAGCAGAAGCAAUAACGACCCCAGCCUUUUCUAAUGCACUGACCCUUGGUUGCCGUUGCAUACUCUCCUAUGCACGCUAGGCUGCAGAUCUCGCUGAACGAGCAAAAUCGAGUACUAUAAUUCCUGCUCUUCCAUCGGCAAAGUUUGCCCUCAGCCACUUGCAUCUCUGCAUGGAACAACAACUUAUAGUAAAAAUUUUUAAUUGAUAACAUUAUUUAUUGGAAUUGAAAUAUAUCUUCUUCAUAAAAAACAAUAAAUCAUUUCAUAUAAUAUAGCUGAGUGUAGGCUGUGUGUGUAAAGGUACAUUUAGGGUUAACUACCUGUACCACGAAAGGAUUGUGGUAAGUUAACAACCAACAUGAAAUUUUUAUCAAUUUACCAUAAAUUCUCACAAAUAUUCUAUUUAAAUAUAUUUGACUGGAAUUUGGGUUCUAAAUCGAGCAAAAGGAAUGGUGAGCAAUAAUUAUAAAGAUCGACUCAACUAGCAUGGGACUGAGGCAUAAAUGUCGUUACUGUUAAAAAAAAUUAUUUUUCGAAACUAAAAUUUAUGCAAAUAUAGUAUACAGAUAGUCAUAAAUGAAAUGAUAAACAAAUUAAGAAGUAACAACCAUUGGCCAACAUGAGAAGGAAGCACCAGAGGAGAGCAAGGAAAGUUGUGUAGCUCACUAGUGACUUUGCCAUAUUCCUAUACUUUUGAUAUAAUACGAUCUUUCUAUUUUCUUUGAAGAGAUUAGUGUGUGGGAACUAUUAAGUGAAGACCAGUAUUUGAACAACGCCUGUCAAUAUAUUUAAUGGUUUAGUCAAAAUUUUCAAUGAAAC
rnacentral:lncRNA from 1 species